GAUGGUAGAAUUCCAGGUGUAGCGGUGAAAUGCGUAGAGAUCUGGAGGAAUACCGAUGGCGAAGGCAGCCAUCUGGCCUAAUACUGACGCUGAGGUACGAAAGCAUGGGGAGCAAACAGGAUUAGAUACCCUGGUAGUCCAUGCCGUAAACGAUGUCUACUAGCCGUUGGGGCCUUUGAGGCUUUAGUGGCGCAGCUAACGCGAUAAGUAGACCGCCUGGGGAGUACGGUCGCAAGACUAAAACUCAAAUGAAUUGACGGGGGCCCGCACAAGCGGUGGAGCAUGUGGUUUAAUUCGAUGCAACGCGAAGAACCUUACCUGGUCUUGACAUAGUAAGAACUUUCCAGAGAUGGAUUGGUGCCUUCGGGAACUUACAUACAGGUGCUGCAUGGCUGUCGUCAGCUCGUGUCGUGAGACGUUGGGUUAAGUCCCGCAACGAGCGCAACCCUUUUCCUUAUUUGCCAGCACUUCGGGUGGGAACUUUAAGGAUACUGCCAGUGACAAACUGGAGGAAGGCGGGGACGACGUCAAGUCAUCAUGGCCCUUACGACCAGGGCUACACACGUGCUGCAAUGGUCGGUACAAAGGGUUGCUACCUAGCGAUAGGAUGCUAAUCUCCAAAAGCCGAUCGUAGUCCGGAUUGGAGUCUGCAACUCGACUCCAUGAA
rnacentral:rRNA from 1 species